UGGCUCAGUUGGUAGAGCAUGGCGCUUGCAACGCCAGGGUUGUGGGUUCGAUUCUCAC
rnacentral:tRNA from 1 species